rnacentral:rRNA from 1 species
UUUGGAAGUAAAAGUCGUAACAAGGUUUCCGUAGGUGAACCUGCGGAAGGAUCAUUAUCGAGUUCUGACUGGGUUGUAGCUGGCCUUCCGAGGCAUGUGCACGCCCUGCUCAUCCACUCUACACCUGUGCACUUACUGUGGGUUUACGGGUCGUGAAACGGGCUCGUUUAUUCGGGCUUGUUGAGCGCACUUGUUUCCUGCGUUUAUCACAAACUCUAUAAAGUAUCAGAAUGUGUAUUGCGAUGUAACGCAUCUAUAUACAACUUUCAGCAACGGAUCUCUUGGCUCUCGCAUCGAUGAAGAACGCAGCGAAAUGCGAUAAGUAAUGUGAAUUGCAGAAUUCAGUGAAUCAUCGAAUCUUUGAACGCACCUUGCGCUCCUUGGUAUUCCGAGGAGCAUGCCUGUUUGAGUGUCAUGAAAUCUUCAAUCUACAAACUUUUUAUGGGGUUUGUAGGCUUGGACCUUUGGAGGCUUGUCGGUCCCUUUACAGGUCGGCUCCUCUUAAAUGCAUUAGCUUGGUUCCUUGCGGAUCGGCUUGUCGGUGUGAUAAUGUCUACGCCGCGACCGUGAAGCGUGUUUGGGCGAGCUUCUAACCGUCUCGUUACAGAGACAACUUUUAUGACCUCUGACCUCAAAUCAGGUAGGACUACCCGCUGAACUUAAGCAUAUCAAUAAGCGGAGGA